rnacentral:rRNA from 1 species
CAACAACGGAUCUCUUGGCUCUCGCAUCGAUGAAGAACGCAGCGAAAUGCGAUAAGUAAUGUGAAUUGCAGAAUUCAGUGAAUCAUCGAAUCUUUGAACGCACCUUGCGCCCUUUGGUAUUCCGAAGGGCACGCCUGUUUGAGUGUCAUGUUCAUCUCAAUCCAAUAGCUUUGCGGCCAUUGAGAUUGGAUUUGGGAGCCUGCUGGCCCUUUCUCUGGGUCGGCUCUCCUUGAAUGCAUGAGUGAGCGUCUGACUCGCGUCGCUGGUGUGAUAGUUAUUUCACCAUUGAGGCGCUUGUCUAAUGAGCUUGCUUUCGAACCGUCUUCUCAUCGGAGACAAUACUUGACAUAUUUGACCUCAAAUCAGGUGGGACU